rnacentral:rRNA from 1 species
UACGUAGGGGGCAAGCGUUAUCCGGAAUCACUGGGCGUAAAGGGUGCGUAGGUGGCUAAUCAAGCCAGAGGUGAACGGCUACGGCUCAACCGUAGUAAGCCUUUGGAACUGAUUGGCUUGAGUGCAGGAGAGGAGAGCGGAAUUCCUAGUGUAGCGGUGAAAUGCGUAGAUAUUAGUAGGAACACCAGUGGCGAAGGCGGCUCUCUGGACUGUAACUGACGCUGAGGCACGAAAGCGUUGGGAGCAAACAGGAUUAGAUACCCUGGUAGUCCACGCCGUAAACGAUGAGUGCUAGGUGUCGGGGGUUCACACCCUCGGUGCCGGAGUUAACGCAAUAAGCACUCCGCCUGGGGAGUACGGUCGCAAGACUGAA